UCAUAGGGCAAGUAUCAGUGCUUAUGGACCCAAACCUGGGUUAUCUAUCCAUGACAAGGAUGAAGCUUGGAUGAAACUAAGUGGAGGUUCGACCGACUGAUGUUGAUGAAUCAGCGGGUGAGUUGUGGUUAGGGGUGAAAUGUCACUUGCACCCAGAGCUAGCUUGUUCUCCCAGAAAUGUGUUGAGGCGUAGCAGUUAACUAGGCUUCUGGGGGUAAAUAACUGUUUCAGUGUGGGCCGCGAGGGCGGUACCAAAUUGAGGCAAACUCUGAAUACUAGAUAUAACCUCAAAAUAACAGGGGGGCAAGGUUGGCUAGUGAGACGAUGGGGGAUGAGCAUCAUCGUUGAGAGGGAAAGAGCCCGGAUCACCAGUUAAGGCCCCUAAAUGACAGCUCAGUGAUGGGGGAUAAGCCUUAUCGUUAAGAGUGCAUAAUAGCGCAUAGAUCGAGAGCUCUUGCUCCAAAGAGGAACGGGGCUAAGCGAUCUGCCGAAGCUGUGGGAUGUGAAAACGCAUCGACAGGGAUAUGUAAAUUCCUUGUCCACUCUUUCCAAUAUUUUCCAAAAAUCAACAUUUAGGAAUAGAGAAUAUAU
rnacentral:rRNA from 1 species